CGUAGGGUGCGAGCGUUAAUCGGAAUUACUGGGCGUAAAGUGUGCGCAGGCGGCUGAGCAAGUCGAGUGUGAAAUCCCCGGGCUUAACUUGGGAAUGGCGCUCGAAACUACUUGGCUGGAGUGUGGCAGAGGGGGGUGGAAUUCCACGUGUAGCGGUGAAAUGCGUAGAGAUGUGGAGGAACACCAAUGGCGAAGGCAGCCCCCCUGGGCCAACACUGACGCUCAUGCACGAAAGCGUGGGGAGCAAACAGGAUUAGAUACCCUGGUAGUCCACGCCCUAAACGAUGAUGACUAGUUGUUGGGGGAGUUAAAUCCCUUAGUAACGCAGCUAACGCGCGAAGUCAUCCGCCUGGGGAGUACGGUCGCAAGAUUA
rnacentral:rRNA from 1 species